GAUGAACGCUGACAGAAUGCUUAACACAUGCAAGUCAACUUGAAUUUGGGUUUUUAACUUAGGUUUGGGUGGCGGACGGGUGAGUAACGCGUAAAGAACUUGCCUCACAGCUAGGGACAACAUUUGGAAACGAAUGCUAAUACCUAAUAUUAUGAUAAUAGGGCAUCCUAUAAUUAUGAAAGCUAUAAGCGCUGUGAGAGAGCUUUGCGUCCCAUUAGCUAGUUGGAGAGGUAACGGCUCACCAAGGCGAUGAUGGGUAGCCGGCCUGAGAGGGUGAUCGGCCACAAGGGGACUGAGACUCGGCCCUUACUCCUACGGGAGGCAGCAGUGGGGAAUAUUGGACAAUGGACCGAGAGUCUGAUCCAGCAAUUCUGUGUGCACGAUGAAGUUUUUCGGAAUGUAAAGUGCUUUCAGUUGGGAAGAAACAAAUGACGGUACCAACAGAAGAAGUGACGGCUAAAUACGUG
rnacentral:rRNA from 1 species